UGGGGAAUAUUGGACAAUGGGCGGAAGCCUGAUCCAGCCAUGCCGCGUGUGUGAAGAAGGCCUUUUGGUUGUAAAGCACUUUAAGCGAGGAGGAGGCUACUUGGAUUAAUACUCUAGGAUAGUGGACGUUACUCGCAGAAUAAGCACCGGCUAACUCUGUGCCAGCAGCCGCGGUAAUACAGAGGGUGCGAGCGUUAAUCGGAUUUACUGGGCGUAAAGCGUGCGUAGGCGGCUUUUUAAGUCGGAUGUGAAAUCCCUGAGCUUAACUUAGGAAUUGCAUUCGAUACUGGGAAGCUAGAGUAUGGGAGAGGAUGGUAGAAUUCCAGGUGUACCGGUGAAAUGCGUAGAUAUCUGGAGGAAUACCGAUGGCGAAGGCAGCCAUCUGGCCUAAUACUGACGCUGAGGUACGAAAGCAUGGGGAGCAAACAGG
rnacentral:rRNA from 1 species